rnacentral:lncRNA from 1 species
GACCUUCCUUUAUCUCUCCUCUCUCUCUCUCUCUGUCACUUCAACAGACAUUUCUCUUCCCUCUUUCUAAAAACACAGACCUUCAAAAUUCAAAAGACCUUCAAAAAACACAAGCUUCAACCCCAAAACCCUAAUCCACCACCAUAUUCAUCUCCUCUAAUCCCCCCUCCUACCUAAUCUGUAGCCGCACAUCCUCCGACACCAUCGAUUUCAACUCAAGGCGGAGACACGGCGGCUUGUGGCAGGUCGCCCACUGUCUUCACCAUCUUCAUAGAUGGAAAACUCAAAUCUUCAUCAUCUUCACGGCAGGCCCCCCGUCGUUUCUCCGGCAGAAGCGCCCCCUCGUUUCUCCGGCGACCCAAACGCUCACGGAGUUGAUGAACGAUCUUGAUGUUGGUGGCGGUGACCGAUGGGUGAAGGGGUGGGUGAAGCGGUGGUUGUUGUGGUGGGUUAGGGGCGGCGGUGUGUCGAAGGUGGUGGUGGUGGUGGUGGCGGUGGCGGUGAAUGAUGGGUGAAGGGGUGGGUGAAGGGGGUGUGAACCGGUGAAUGAUGGAUGAAUAACGGUGGUUCGUUGCAAGGAAUACCCACAUCAGUUGAACAGUAGGGUCGAGAAGUUGAAGAAUAAUUGAUAAGAUGAAGAUGGAUUAAUUAAGGACUUGAAUGUUUUCUCUAAUGUUUUUGUGUUUGAUGUUUUGAUUUUCUUUAUGUGUUUAGAUUAAUGUGUAUUAGUUUGUUUUCUAUUUUAUAACAAUAGUCCUUUUAGAAAUGAUGCCAUCUUUCAUCUGAAUGGUGAAUGUCAAUUUCAGGUUUCAGUCAUGAUAAAUGAUAGUAAAUAUACAUUGAGGUCACUGUAAAAAUGUUGCUUGCAUUAGCACAAAUUUAAGUUGAAGUACAGAUUAUAUGUUUGUCACACCGAUGCAAGUCUAGAUGUAAAUGUUUAUCAGUUGUCAUAGCAUGAGUACAAAUUUAAGUUUUAAAUACAAACUAGUAUCCUGAUCGCGUAAUUUCUACUAUAAGUUUAGCAGCAGAAACAGACCAUUACUUUUGUAUUGUUAGACUAGGAGCAGCAAACUUUCAAAAUCUCAGCAGCUUUUUUUUUCAUUUUUUUCCAAGUCGAUGAUGAUAAGUUCAAUCUAGCUGAGACACCUAUCGAGUUGUGAUUUUUGGGUGCGUUCGUUUUGUUUAAAAAAGUUUUUGUAAAAAAAAGUUAAAACCGUAAACUUUUUAACGUAAAAUGUAAACUUUUUAAUGUAAAAUGUAAAACAUAAAACUUAAACUUUUUAACGUAAAACGUAAAACUUUUUAACGUAAAACGUAAAAAUUUUCACGUAAAACGUAAAACCUAAAGUUUUUAACGUAAAACGUAAAACCUAAACUUUUUAACGUAAAAUAUAAACUUUUUCACGUAAAAUGUAAAAUGUAAACUUUUUCAUGUAAAAAGUAAACUUUUUAACGUAAAACGUUUUAAAGUAGAACGUAAAACGUAAACUUUUAUGUAAAAUCUUUUUAACGUAAAACGUAACACUUUUUCUACGUAAAUUGUAAAACGUAAAAAACCGUGUGAUAAAACGGCUCCUAAACACGGGGUGUGAAUACGCGACAUAGAAACGCUGUGAAAAAAACAGGACGUAAAAAACAGCGCGUUAAAACGAGACGUAAAAAACAGCGCGUUAAAAAGUAAAACAUAAAACGUAAAAAGUUUACGUAAAACGUAAACAAAUAAAACAUAAAAAACCGGCGCGUAAAACGUAAAAACGUUAAAAAUGUUGAGGUAAAAAACCAGCACGUAAAUCGUAAAAAAACGUUAACGUAAAAAACCGGCGCGUAAAACGUAACAAAACCGGCGCGUUAAAACGUAAACUUUUUUAUCGUAAAACGUAAACUUUUUGACGUAAAACGUAAAAAAAACGGCGCGUUAAAACGUAAAAAUUUUAACGUAAAACGUAAAAAAACGGCGCGUUAAAACGUAAAAAAAUUAACGUAAAAAAACGGCGAUUUUCUGUUGCGUUCGGUUUUGCGUAAAAACGUUUUUGUAAAAAAAAAUUAAACCGUAAACUUGUUAACGUAAACCGUAAACUUUUUAUCGUAAAACGUAAAAAUGUGAAGCGUAAAAAGUGUUACGUAAAUUUUUUCGUAAGUUUUACGUAAAACGUAAAAAGUUUUUCGUAAGUUUUACGUAAAGUUUUUCGUAAGUUUUACGUAAAGUUUUUCGUAAGUUUUACGUAAAGUUUUUCGUAAGUUUUUCGUAAAUUUUUUUCGUAAGUUUUACGUAAACUUUUUCGUAAGUUUUUCGUAAAACGUAAAAAGUUUUACGUAAAACGUAAAAAGUUUACGUAAAACGUAAAAACUUUUACGUAAAACGUAAAAAGUUUAAAUUUUAACGCAAAACGUAAAAAGUGUACAAAAAGGGGCGCGUUAAAAAAGUGAAAAAAACGGCGCGUUUAAAACGGCGUGUAAAAAAACGACGCAUUAAAAAACGUGGAGAAACGGCGCGUUUUAAAAAACGACGCUUGAAAAAACGGCGCGUAAAAACGCGUAAAAAAACGGCGCGUUAAAAAACUUUGGAAAAACGGCGCGUUAAAACGGCGUGUAAUAAGCGCGUAAAAAAUUUGGCGCGUUAAAAAACGUGGAAAAAAAGGGCGCGUAAAAAACGUGUAAAAAACCGCGCGUGAAAAAAACGCCGACUGAGAAAAACGACGACUUAAAAAAACGGCGCGUAAAAAACGGCGUUAAAAAACGGCGCGUUAAAAAACGCCGAUUGAGAACGGCGCGUUAAAAAACGGCGUUAAAAAACGGCGCGUUAAAAAACGGCGUGUUAAAAAACGGCGCGUUAAAAACGGCGCGUUAGAAACUGCGUGUUUAAAAAACGGCGAUUGAGAAAAACGACGCCUUAAAAAAAACGGCGCGUAAAAAAAACGGCGCGUUAAAAAACGGCGUGUCAAAAAACGUAAAAAGUUUAACGUAAAACUUAAAUUGUAAAAAGUAUAAAAAUCUUUUAAAAAAAAUCUGAAUUUAAAAAUGUUUUUAAUAAAGAAAUUAUGUUUAAAAAAUAAAAGUAAUAAAAAGUAAUUAAUGAAUAGGACAAAAAAAGGUAAUUUAAAAUUAAUAUAUAUAAAAAGACAAAAUAGAGUUAUUUUACUUAAAUACCCUUUUGUAUUAUAAUAUUAAAGACAUAAUAAGAUAAAAAGCUUUUAAUAUUAAUAUUAACUACUUUUAAUCACAUCCAUCCAUCUAGUUGAUCUAAGGGCCAUAAAGUGGUUCUCAUGGUUUUUACAACUAGAGGUGGUUUUCAUUUUAGCGAUCCCCUAUAUAUAUAUAUAUAGUGGAGGGUUCAAAUGAGAAGAAAUUUUUUGUAAGAAUAAAAAAGAACAAAUUUCAACCAAUAAGAAUCCUUAAUUUUACUUCAUUUAAUUUUUGUAUUUAAUAUUAGUGUAAGGGUAUAUUGGUAAACUUAGAUAGAUCAUUAUUGUUAGUCUUCCUUUUUAUUAGCUAGUAAAUUAAAUUUGUAACUUAUUUUCAAAAAAUAUAUUUU